UACAGAGGUCUCAAGCGUUGUUCGGAUUCAUUGGGCGUAAAGGGCGCGUAGGUGGCGCGCUAAGUUAGGUGUGAAAUUUCGGAGCUUAACUCCGAAACUGCAUUUGAUACUGUUCGGCUUGAGUCCUGGAGAGGGUAGCGGAAUUCCCGGUGUAGCGGUGAAAUGCGUAGAGAUCGGGAGGAACAUCAGUUGCGAAGGCGGCUCUCUGGACCAGCACUGACGCUGAGGCACGAAAGCGUGGGGAGCAAACAGG
rnacentral:rRNA from 1 species